GACAGAACAGUCACUUUGUUCUUCAGUCGAUCAUUAACUUAUUAAUGUACACAAAGUGGACAUCUUGCUCCUCGCUCUCCUUUAAACUGGCCGGUGUCCGACUGUAAUGCAUCCAGUAAGCUCAGCAGGAAAACCUCAUGCUCGCAUGUUUGUUGCCUUUCAUGGAGAGGAACGCAGACUUCCUGGAUACACCUGACAGAGCGCGAACACCCAACAGGGUAACGAUGAUCUGGAUCUUUUUACUUUUCAGCCUGACUCCUGUCUGUGCAAAAAGGACUCAGAGUGUCUAUGAGGCAGAGGAGGACGACAACAUCACCAUCAGAUGGGA